GGCACAGGGACUGUUUUGGGGUGUCAUUGAAGGUAACGGGCUCAAGAGUGGCCUGUCCAGAUAUUUUGUUUUUUAUUUAUUGAUGAUCCACGAGACAUCCUAGAGUUAAAUCAAAGUAUGUGGUUAUCUUUGUAUUCAUUCCUACACACUCUGGUAAUAUCUCUGUGGGGUCUGAUUCACUUAUUAGAGUGAAAUUCUAUUGUGAAAAACAGCCACAAAUUCGUGUCACUGGUGAAAAUGAAACUGAUAAUUUAAAUUUUGCCACCAUGAAAUAUAUACAAAUAGAUAAAUUUGAGUGACUUCACCUGCUUUGCACAGUAAAAAUAUGCUAUUUCAGGCAUCUGACACCCUCAAAAAGGCGUGCGCACUCCUCUGGCCUAGGAGCUUCAGCCUGGACAUUGUGGUUAGGUCAUUACAUACUCAAAUCAGGACUAGGUUUUGGGAGACAGGUCAGGUCAUUUUGUAGACUUGUGAUACUGGGCUAGACUGCACUGGGUACACCACACGCUGGAGUUGCACCCAGUUUAUAAUGAUAUCAUUUUGGAGCAGUGAGUGAUGGGCUUUUUUUUUACUGUAAAAAUAAAAAGUAUGUUGAUGUUUACACAGUUAAUUGACACCAAACUUGAUUUGCAGACACUACCAAACGAAGAAGAGGAGGAGGAGGAGGAAGAAGAAGACGAGGAACACAGGAGGAACCCAUUGAGAGAACAAGAAGAAGAAGAAGAAGAAGAAGAGGAGGACACAGGAAUUCCUUGAAUUGAAUGGCUGGCGUCUCGGUCUGCCUGCCUGUGGGACACCGCACACUCUGGAACAAGAAAGAACACCAAGAUGUCAAGUUCCUGCAGAAUCAGCCUCUUAGUGAAGGAAAUGUGCUCUAUUUAUUUAAUAAAUAAUUGACAAAAAAAUAA